CAUCUCUGGGGUCCAUGCAUCCUCAAACGGACAAAUCUUUCGCCUUUUACUAAAGAUUUCCGUGCAUGGGCUCGCUUAUGAGUUCUAUAAAUUUUUGGAGGUCCAUUGUCGGAUGGACU
rnacentral:snRNA from 1 species